rnacentral:rRNA from 1 species
GAUGAACGCUAGCGGCAGGCCUAACACAUGCAAGUCGAGGGGUAGGGUUAGCUUGCUAACUUGAGACCGGCGCACGGGUGCGUAACGCGUAUGCAAUCUACCUUGUACAGAGGGAUAGCCCAGAGAAAUUUGGAUUAAUACCUCAUAGUAUCUUUACCUGGCAUCGGGUAAUUAUUAAAGUUCCAACGGUACAAGAUGAGCAUGCGUCCCAUUAGUUAGUUGGUAAGGUAACGGCUUACCAAGACAAUGAUGGGUAGGGGUCCUGAGAGGGAGAUCCCCCACACUGGUACUGAGACACGGACCAGACUCCUACGGGAGGCAGCAGUGAGGAAUAUUGGUCAAUGGACGCAAGUCUGAACCAGCCAUGCCGCGUGCAGGAAGACGGUCCUAUGGAUUGUAAACUGCUUUUUAUACAGGAAAAAACACUCUACGUGUAGAGUCAUGACGGUACUGUAGGAAUAAGGAUCGGCUAACUCCGUGCCAGCAGCCGCGGU